AUGUAUUAUGUUGCUUGUUGAUUUUCUGUGAUUCCUUGCUGACUGAAAAACUGUUAUUUUUUUAUGCAGGAUACAACCAUGGAUAUCACUCAGGUUCUACUAGAUGCUCAAUCUCGAGAUGCUAACCUUCGAACAGUAGCAGAAAGCAACCUCACACAGUUCCAGGAGCAGAAGCUUUAAGCUACGCUCAACUGUCUAUGUGACUCACAUUUGAUGUAAACCGUGUUAUAAAAAAAGACAUGUUGUAAUUUAUUCAUUUCAAAUCAAUGUUUGUUCCAAU
rnacentral:lncRNA from 1 species